UACGUAGGGUGCGAGCGUUGUCCGGAAUUACUGGGCGUAAAGAGCUCGUAGGUGGUUUGUCGCGUUGUUCGUGAAAACUCACAACUCAAUUGUGGGCGUGCGGGCGAUACGGGCAGACUGGAGUACUGCAGGGGAGACUGGAAUUCCUGGUGUAGCGGUGGAAUGCGCAGAUAUCAGGAGGAACACCGGUGGCGAAGGCGGGUCUCUGGGCAGUAACUGACGCUGAGGAGCGAAAGCGUGGGGAGCGAACAGGA
rnacentral:rRNA from 1 species